ACUUUUAUUCGCAUUACCAUGGCUUCUUUGAAUCACACCUGAAGGCGAAUGGGCAAGCAAUCCGCUUUGUGAUAGACUCUUUGGAUCGUGUUAAUGCGAAUUGGUGAUAAAUCGACUUGACGAUUUGAUGAUGAUAAUGAAUCAAAGCUAGGAAGGGAGUCAUCUUUAAUUUAGGGGCAGGAAUGAAAUGCCACAGCUUUUUUGAAAAAAGAAUAGUAAUCUUCAUGUGGGUUGUUAUGGUUUGAGCUGUCUCCAGCUUGCUGCUUUUAAGAGUUUUGAUCACAAAGUCAGUCAGAUGGCACAUGUGGACUGGACUUGUCAUUCACACCACAUGCAUAUGUCCACAAUUUCACUCUAUCUAUCAACUCGUCUUUCUUUGAGUACAAUCAAACAUCCUGAUUUGACUAGUUCCUUAAAAAGUGUUGUCUCGCGCUCAUAGGGUUAUGAUCCAUCUGGCUGCUACCAACCGUACGAUGUCAAUAUGGGGCAUAUGUCGGGCUAGUAACAUUGGAAACUGCUUCUGGACUGAGAGCAACCAACAAUAGAGAGGGAGAGAGGACAAACCAUGGAAUAUAUUUGAUAGAAAACCCAUCAGGUUCAUUGCGAGCUCUGAUUAGAGAAUCAGGAACCUUC